rfam:Neotoma lepida isolate 417 scaffold_812, whole genome shotgun sequence.
UGGCUCAGAGGUUAAGAGCACUGGCUACUCUUCCAGAGGUCCUGAGUUCAAUUCUCAG